GAUGAACGCUAGCGGCAGGCUUAAUACAUGCAAGUCAAGGGGCCAGCAAUGGCACCGGCGGACGGGUGAGUAACGCGUACACAACGUACCUUUAACUGGGGGAUAGCAUCUGGAAACGGGUGGUAAUACCGCAUGUGGUUGCGGGGAGGCAUCUCCUUGUAACUAAAACUUUGGUGGUUAGAGAUCGGUGUGCGUCUGAUUAGCUAGUUGGUAGGGUAGAGGCCUACCAAGGCGACGAUCAGUAGGGGGCGUGAGAGCGUGAACCCCCACACGGGUACUGAGACACGGACCCGACUCCUACGGGAGCAGCAGUAAGGAAUAUUGGUCAAUGGAGGGAACUCUGAACCAGCCAUGCCGCGUGAAGGAAGAAGGCGCUACGCGUUGUAAACUUCUUUUGGGUGGGACGAAAAUAAUCCAUUUAUGGAUAGCUGACGGUACCAUCAGAAUAAGCACCGGCUAACUCCGUGCCAGCAGCCGCGGUAAU
rnacentral:rRNA from 1 species